CGAUGUCGGCUCAUCACAUCCUGGGGCUGAAGUCGGUCCCAAGGGUAUGGCUGUUCGCCAUUUAAAGUGGUACGCGAGCUGGGUUUAGAACGUCGUGAGACAGUUCGGUCCCUAUCUGCCGUGGGCGUUGGAGAAUUGAGAGGGGCUGCUCCUAGUACGAGAGGACCGGAGUGGACGAACCUCUGGUGUUCGGGUUGUCACGCCAGUGGCAUUGCCCGGUAGCUAAGUUCGGAAUUGAUAACCGCUGAAAGCAUCUAAGCGGGAAGCGAGCCUCGAGAUGAGUUCUCCCUAAGGCUAAAAGCCUUCUAAAGGGUUGUUGGAGACGACGACGUAGAUAGGUCAGGUGUGUAAGUGCUGUGAGGCAUUGAGCUAACUGAUACUAAUUGCCCGUGAGGCUUAACCCU
rnacentral:rRNA from 1 species